rnacentral:rRNA from 1 species
UACGGAGGGAGCUAGCGUUGUUCGGAAUUACUGGGCGUAAAGCGCGCGUAGGCGGCUUUGUAAGUUAGAGGUGAAAGCCCGGAGCUCAACUCCGGAACUGCCUUUAAAACUGCAUCGCUUGAAUCCAGGAGAGGUGAGUGGAAUUCCGAGUGUAGAGGUGAAAUCGUAGAUAUUCGGAAGAACACCAGUGGCGAAGGCGGCUCACUGGACUGGUAUUGACGCUGAGGUGCGAAAAGCGUGGGGAGCAAACAGGG